GGCUUUAUAGUCAAAUUAUGAUGUUAGACUGCAAUUCUAAAGUUAGGAUAUAGUCCUUAAAGCUU
rnacentral:tRNA from 1 species